UACGAAGGGUGCAAACGUUGCUCGGAAUUAUUGGGCGUAAAGCGCACGUAGGCGGCUUUGCAAGUCCCAUGUGAAAUCCCACGGCUCAACCGUGGAAGUGCAUGGGAAACUGCAGAGCUUGAGUACUUAAGAGGAUCGCGGAAUUCCCGGUGUAGAGGUGAAAUUCGUAGAUAUCGGGAGGAACACCAGUGGCGAAGGCAGCUCGCUGGGACGUAACUGACGCUGAGACGCGAAAGCGUGGGGAGCAAACAGG
rnacentral:rRNA from 1 species